GACAGAGGGUGCAAACGUUGCUCGGAAUUACUGGGCGUAAAGCGCGUGUAGGUGGAUUGGUGUGCCAGAUGUGAAAGCCCUGGGCUCAACCCAGGAACUGCACCUGAAACUACCAGUCUUGAGUGGUGGAGAGGGAAGUGGAAUUCCUGGUGUAGAGGUGAAAUUCGUAGAUAUCAGGAGGAACACCAGUGGCGAAGGCGGCUCCCUGGCCGAACACUGACGCUGAGACGCGAAAGCGCGGGGAGCGAACGGG
rnacentral:rRNA from 1 species